GGCGUUAAAAGGAAGGUCCACCAUGGGGCCUAAUUUUGUUUUGACGCUUGUUUAAAGAUGGCUGUGUAUAGUAAAAGGAGUAAAAGUGCCACGUCGAAAUUCUGAUUGGAAGAAAAUUUUCGUUUCCACAAUUGAAAAGUACGGCGUUCUAUGCUUCCAGCAUACUUCAAGUCUGUCGAAAACGAUGAGUCAACUCAACUUACUUUCCCUGGGAUUGUUCGUCAUAAAAAUGAUAACAAGCCUACAAUUUACACUUGGCAAUACCAUUUGAUCAUGUAGCAUACCAUCUGAUCAUGUAGCCUGAAAAUGCUGUUUCCCAAGAGCAAGAUGUUGUCUCUUGCUGCUCAUACCGGCUGUAUGUUUCCUCACAUGUAGAAAUACUUCACAACACAUGGUGAAGUCUGAGCUUCUUCAUUGCAGUCCAAUGUGCUGUGCCAGUGUGAUUUGUUGCAGCCAGCUGGCGAAAGGUGUUCCUCUUACAGGCUGACUUGCUACCAGUACCAUUUGUAUGUUUGUCAUGCAGAAACACACACACUUCAAGUGCUGAUGUUGUCCUGGAGUGUGGGAGAGUUCCAUGCUUCAAGUCUUCUGGGAUCAGCCAUAUCUGAGUUGACGCUGGAUCAUGCUGCAUUGAGGUUGCCGAAAUGUGGACAUCUAGUAGAACUGCAAGAAGACUCCUUGAAAUGGUUUAUGUUUACGUAGCAGUGAUGUUGCUGUCCAACAUGGCAUGUUGUUGCAGCCUAUAGACUGGUGAAAGAUUUUGUAUCGAGUUAUGCUGUUGCUGUUCCUUGGUGCCGGACUGCUGGUGUUGUGCACAAAAGUUACAUCCAGUUUUAAUUGUUAUUUGUGUUUAUGCAGUUAACCGUUUAUAUGUUGAGAAUGAAAAAAAAAUAGCAAUACGGGGAAUUUUUACGUUGAACAAAUACUAAACAUGCCUUCGCGAUUGGGAAACCAGCGAGGAGGAGAUUGGGGGGGAGGGGGCAAUUGAUUUUCAUUAACUAGAAGAAGUCGUGUUUUGUUUUAACAAGUUAGAAAAAAAUCCUUUGUCUAUCACAUCCAUAUACCUACCUAGAUAACCACAUCUAUUCCUCAAACCCUAUAACUUCCACCAACAUCCAUUCCUUAAAACCACAUUUCCCCACAAAUGUCAAAUAUCUGUAAUAUGUACAUAUUAUUGUUCUAUAAUUAAACCAUCUUUGUAAUA
rnacentral:lncRNA from 1 species